AAUAUUUUCCAUGGAGAGCUUACUCUUUUUAGUACAUGUUAAUUCUAUAUCUGGCACUAGCAUAUACUACUUGUUAUUGCCCUCAGUUAUAUUUGUUAUAUGCCAUUUGUUAGUUUAUUUCUCUUCCUCACAAGUUUGUAGGAACUAAAAACUUUUAGGAGUUAUGUAUUUUAUGUAUUUCCUAUGUCUUAUGACUCAUCCCUCAUGUUUCAUAAAUGUUGUAGAUUUAUUAAUGAUCAUAGAUUUUUUUCCCUCCUACUUCUGUCCUUCCAUUUCUGAGGAAUAAGUCAGUGAUUGUAAAUCUGUUGCUUCUUAUCAGAGAGAAUUCAAGCCUGGAUACUGACAACCAGGCCUUUCUCAGCUCCUCUCUUCCUGGUCCUAUGAGCAGCACAGAUUCAUCAGAAGCCUUGAUUAUUUCUGAAGAGAUGCUUCCAUCCCUCCUUUUCCCACCAUCAAAACUAAAAUCCAUCAGCUAUCUCACUUCCAAGUUAAAACCAGGAUCAUUGGUUACCUGGAGAGUAAUGGUGGUGCUUAUAGUGAGCAGAGACUGAAGGAUCUUCGUUUUCAAGAUACAGUUAGUUAAGUUCAAGGAGAGAUCAAUGUAAGAGGACUGCAUGGUUGAAACCCAAGUUAAUACCUGUUGAUGAUACCAAGACACUCAUCUGGCUGAGGAAACUAGCAGAAGUUGCCCUUCAAGAUGCUCUGCAAGUACCCAGCCCAUUUUUAUCAUCAUCAUCAUCAUCAUCAUCAUCAUCAUCAUCUGUUUGCAUCAUCUGAGGAAAUUAGGUCUGAGUUAGGAUCUAGAUUGGUAUUAGGAAGAACACAGACAGGACAUGAACAAAUAGAAAUAAGCAGUGGUGGAAGAGAAGCAUGCAUAAGCUUCCUGGAAGCACUGGGACAUUUUCCCAAGAAUUGGCAGAAUUGCCAGAUUAUAGGUAGCAGAAUUGUCUUGACAAUUCUCCUGUCUCCUGAAGUAGGAGCAGUAGGAGUACGUAUUAGUUAAGUGGCUAUGUCUGCACAGGCUCAAAUUCAGGAUUGCUAUUUGCCCUGAUAGUAGGAGAAAGUGGGACAAGGCACUGAAACCGGAGACAAUCCAUUUAACACAAGGUGCCUGGCACCCCUGCCCACGCAGUGACUUGUACUUUUCCAGCAGAGAAAUUUUUAAUAUCUUGAGCCCUUGGACUCUGAAUCUGAUGACCAGAUCUUCUCCGAAGGAGCAGGGUGAUAUGGGAGUUUGGCCCUUUUCGGAGAUCAGAGGGGCCUGUCACAUUUCCAUUUCACAAGAAUCUGCACCAGUCAUUGUUUUAUUGUUCUUCACACUCUGUCCCUCCGCUGGUUUCCACUGGCUUGCCCCUGGAAAACCCUAAAUUACUGAGUUCUCCAUAUUUCC